rnacentral:rRNA from 1 species
AAUCAACGCUGGCGGCGUGCCUCAGACAUGCAAGUCGAACGAUUAAGACUUCCUUCGGGAAGUGUAUAAAGUGGCGCACGGGUGAGUAACACGUAAGUAAUCUGCCUUCGAGUGGGGAAUACCUUCGGGAAACCGAAGAUAAUACCGCAUAAUGCAGCGGCACCGCAAGGUGACAGUUGUUAAAGGAGCAAUCCGCUUGAAGAGGAGCUUGCGGCAGAUUAGCUAGUUGGUAAGGUAAUGGCUUACCAAGGCUACGAUCUGUAUCCGGUCUAAGAGGACGGUCGGACACACUGACACUGAAUAACGGGUCAGACUCCUACGGGAGGCAGCAGUCGGGAAUUUUGGGCAAUGGGCGAAAGCCUGACCCAGCAACGCCGCGUGAAGGAUGAAGUAUUUCGGUAUGUAAACUUCGAAAGAAUGGGAAGAAUAAAUGACGGUACCAUUUAUAAGGUCCGGCUAACUACGUGCCAGCAGCCGCCGCCGUAAC